AAGAGGAAGAGAGACCAGAGCCCUCUCUCUGUCUCUGUCUCUCUCUCCCUCUCCACACCAUGAAAGGACACAGCAAGAAGGUGGCCGUCUGCAAGCCAGGAAGUGGGUCCUCACCAUUCACCAAAUCUGCUGGUGCCUUGAUCUUGGACUCCAGAACUGUGAGAACUAAUUCCUGCUGUUUAAGCCCUCCAGUCUGUGGUAUUUUGUCCUGGCAGCCUGAGCUGACUCAUGCAGGAUGGAGGGCAAGUCUGGAAAGUGGUCAAGAAGGAGACCCUGCCUGAACAGUCCCCCCACCAAGAGUAUCCACGUACCCAUCGGCGCCUAACAGGAUGGGAUGCUGAAACGUACCUCAGGCGAUCACCUGCCCUCCAUGGUUGGCAGGAGGUAAGCCCUGCAGUGCUGCCGGGCUGGGGCUGGGAUGUGCCUGGGGUGGGCGUGGGGAGGGACGGGUUGUCCAGAGGCUGAACUGAAGCCAUGGUCUGAGGCUAAGGGGGAGAACGGAGGCCUUUCCGACCAGAGGCACUUGCUCCCCACAGCCAGUGCUUCUACGGCUCCGGGUUUUCUGACGUGGUCUGCUGAAACCUCAGCGUUAGCCGGCCACAUGCUGCUUCAGGACCCACGCCAGGAGCUUUCCCCAGACCUUUGUGCCUGGAAACAGUCCUGCAUUCUCCACUGGGCAACUCCUCGAGACUCAGUCCCCACAUCACAGGCAGGAUUGAGUCCCUCUCAUCUUUCCGCCCACAGGUCCUUUAGGAUCUUGUGCUUAUCUACGUCAUCAGCCUGCGAGCUUCGUGGGUCCCUGGUGCCCAGUGUCAUCUAGGUUCAUAUCCAGGAUCUAGUAGGCAUUCAAUGACCAUCUGUUGAAUUAAAUUGGGCUGGAGAAGAUUGGAUUGGAUUGGAGAGAAGUGUAAGCACAAUUUCCGUGGCUGACCUGAGAUCCAACUCCAAGUUUUCAGCUUUGAAUUCAGGACCCUUCCCUACACCUCAGCUGGCAGACACGCUGGGGUCGGGGCACCUUUGGGGCGAUCCUGAGUAGGUGACGGUGGAAAGUCGUUAAUAAGCAUCGGAAUCAACCAGACCAUCAAUUUCGGGUCUAACAGGAGCCCAAUUUGGACACAAAAUUCUCUUUGACUGCAAAGGAAGAUCCAGGAUCAGAAGGCAGGAGAAACGUCAGAAUGUUUCUCAAACUUGCGGCUGCAGCCACAGUAAGAAGCAUAUCUGACAUCGUGACCCAGUGACACAUGGGUGAACACAGACACAGGGAAAGGAUAUUUACCAGCGAUGCUGACACUCCCCUCUUGCGAUGCAUCUGAGAUUCUCCCCUUCUUAGAUCGUUUUAUUUGGUGCUGCAGGACCCACUCAUGGGAUGAAUCCCACAGGUGGUAAAGCACUGCAGCGAAACGGGAUGAGCUGGAAAGUGCGGUAAUCAGGGGGGAGCAGAUGUGAGCCCUCCCCUCUGCCCUUCUCUUCUUUCCGCUCCCUUUAUGCCUCCUUCUCUCCCUCCUCUACAGCAAGAUGGCUGGUUUCAGCAAGCCAUCCAUUUAUGCCCGCCUCCCAACAAACAGACGUUAUUUCCCUUUGUCUGGAAAAUUCUAGUUGUAUCUUUAAGCUACUGGACGUCUUAUUUGACAUUAUAUGUUCUACCUUAUCAUAUAUUUGAAAAACCAAAAAGCGGCUCUUUCUCUUCUGUUCGAAUAUUUCCGUCAAACAGCCCAAGAACGGAGAGCUGGAGCUUUUGCAGGCUGAACGAGGCUGAGAGCAAGACUGAUACCAUCUUUCCUCAGCCCUCAGGAGCACAAGGCUCCGCCUGCAUCCUGGACUCCCGGGGGGUGUCUGAGCCCCUUCCCUUCUCAGUCACAAGUAACUUUACCGAGUGGUUGAAGAGACCCUCCAAGUCCUCCUGCGUCUUUGCCGGUGGCCUGAGUCCACAUUCCAGCGCACCAGUCACCCCGGUGGGCGGUCACAAACCUCCUCUGUGCGCUGAAAGCCUUUCUUUCCUGGUAGAAACACUCACGGAAACCACGGCUAAGAAACAGGCGGCUCUAACCGAAAUGGACCGUAACUCUUGCCUCCUUCCUUCCCUUGAGCUGCCCACCGCGGCCUCCGCCAGCUCUCGGAUUCUCUGCACACAGGCUCCUGCCGGACCAGAAGGCGUGUGGUUCCGGCUUCUGCUCAUCCAAUCUGCUUUGUCACUCAAGCCUUGUGAACAGUCAUGGGCCCAAGACGACGGCUCCCAGGGCUUCUCCACUUUCUGACCAAGCUCCCUCUCGGGUUUCCAGCUUCUGCUCAGUCUUCUUUUUAUUUAUUUAUUUAUUUUAUUUAUUUAUUUUUUACAUCUUUAUUGGAGUAUAAUUGCUUUACAAUGGUGUGUUAGUUUCUGCUGUAUAACAGUGAAUCAGUUAUACAUAUACAUAUGUUCCCAUAUCUCUUCCCUCUUGCGUCUCCCUCCCUCCCACCCUCCCUAUCCCACCCCUGUAGGUGGUCACAAAGCACCGAGCUGAUCUCCCUGUGCUAUGCGGCUGCUUCCCACCAGCUAUCUAUUUUACAUUUGGUAGUGUAUAUAUGUCCAUGCCUCUCUCGCGCUUUGUCCCAGCUUACCCUUCCCUCUCCCCAUAUCCUCAAGUCCAUUCUCUAGUAGGUCUGUGUCUUUAUUCCUGUCUUACCCCUAGGUUCUUCAUCAAAUGAUGAUGUCUUGAACUCCUGUGGUGUGUGGCCUAGGUGUCGGGAUUUGGUGUCUCGGGUCAGGUGCUCCCCAGGGGCCCUGGGGGGCAGUUACUGAGGAAGACCCUGGGCUCGGUUAAGUUUGCAAGGUGGUCAGUGCACUGUUGAACCCCAGCUACUGUCAUCCAACUCUACAGGCAUCUCUGCUGUGAGGUGACGCAUACAUGUAUUUCUGAAUAAACAAACAAACACCCCUCUUGUUCUGUAAAACUGUGCACCGAGACAGCAGGGCUCAUGCGAGGAGCAGGGCUGAGCAGACUACUCAGACCCUCACGGCUCUGGAACAGAGCCCUAGCAAAACAGCGAUGAUCCUAAUGAAACGUCUACACAGUGGGAAAGGCACCUCAGAUUCCUAGUAAAGAAAUGCAAAAGCAAAUAUAGGGCUUCAUCUUUUAAAAGGGGGGAAUGCACACCCAUGUUCACAGCAGCAUCAUUCACAGUAGCCAAGAGGGGGAAGCAACCCAAGUGUCCACUGACGACAGGUAAAUGCAUAAACAACAUGUGGUCCAUCCAUACAACGGAAUACGGCUCAGCCUUAAGAAGGAAGGACAUUCUGACACCUUUUACAACACGGAUGAAACUUAAAGACGUUAUUCGAAGUCAAAUAAGCCAGACACAGAAGGACAACUAGUGUAUGAUUCCACUUACAUGAGACAGUAGUCAAAAUCACGGAGACACAAAGGAGAAUGCUGGUUUCCAGGGGGUGGGGAGUCAGUGUUUAAUGCAGAGAGUUCCAGUUUUGCAAGAUGAAGCGUCUUGGAGACGGAUGGAGGGACAGUGGUGACAGGUGCAAUCACAUAAUGUACUUAAUGCCAGGGAACUGUGCAUAGGGAAAUGGUGAAGAUGGGAAAAGUUAUGUUCUGUGUAUUUUACCACAAUGUUUAAAAAUAAGGGACUUCCCUGAUGGUCCAGUGGGUAAGACUCCACGCUCCCAAUUCCGGGGGCCCAGGGUUCUAUCCCUGGUCCGGGAACUAGAUCCCACAUGCAUGCCGCAACUAAGAAGCCCACACACUGCAACAAACAUCCCACGUGCCGCAACUAAGACCUGGCGCAGCCAAAAUAAAUAAAUAUUUUAAAGAAAUAAAAAAAUAAGGCGCAGGUAGCUUUAUGGAAAGGGUUUAAGGGUUGUGAGGUAUGAAGACUGGGGCCGAGGGCACAGGUGGAGAGACCUGGGGCCAGAGGGACGUGGGCGAGGGAGGCUGCGGGCGGCUGUUCUCUCACUCUGCUGCCUUAUCUGAGGCACCAAGAGCUAAUACGUGGAAUCUCUGUGAACCGGCGCAAAUUUCUCCUUAUCCUGAGGUCCUUCCCCGGUCUGGCAGUUGCUUGAGCUACAAAGCCUUACAGAAACACCCCCUUCAGCCAAAAGAACGUACCAGGCAGUCACGACUACGUUCCUCAUCAUCCCGCCUCCUUCUACCUUUACCUAAAUUCCUACAAACAUGACACCCCCAUGGCAUCCCCCUCACCGCGCCCGUUAAUCGGACGAGUGAUGUUCUCAUGCGUGGUUUUGAAACACAGUUUUCGUAGUCCCUGAAAAGGCAUUCCACUCUCACCUUCCGCACCAGGUAUCAGAGUCCACCUGUCGGAGUCAGAGUGUCUGAGACGGUGAAGAAUCAUAAACUCACCUAGAGGCCUAUCUCGAGAAGAAGCUAUUACUGUAGAUCAAGAAUCACCCCAAUUUUCCUUCCCUUUAUUUCCACGUGGAAUUGCACGGUUUUUCUAGGAAGAAUACCUUUUAUGUCCCAAUAACGUCUCUUAAAGGAGGAACUUGCACAAAUGUUCAAAAAUAGAGAAAGGAGUAAACAAAUGUCAGCCCAUCUGUGGGAUGGGAUAUUCUACGGUGUUGUAGAAGGUGUAUAAGGCUGUACAGCACACAGCUAAGCUCAAUGGAAAAUGCUUUAAUACAAGGGGACAUGGUAACUGAAUGUAUAAUGUAAUCAUGACAUUUUUAAAAUCCUGAAGGUCAAGUAAGAAAAUUAUGGGCAAUUUUUUUUCUGUACCCUUCCUGUAAUGAUCUCAGCUAAAAGAACAUUUUAGAGGUUAUUUAUAGCCUACGUUCCUCUACAUUAGGUAUCACACCAGUUUAUAUGUUAUUUCUUAUCGUAUUAAGGCUACCUAGAUAAGACUACAGACUUAGGUAUGUUUCUCCUUAGUAGCCAUUUUAGUUAUCCAUUCCUAUCUUUAAAUUAAGACCAACAAAGUUCCUGUCGACCCGCCCGCAAGGAAGCCACUGGGAGUCGCAGGGCUGCUCCGCGCGCGUGGGGACGAGGGGCUGGCUGAACUGCACGACUGUUGGGUCAGGUUUAGAGAGUCUGGCUCUCCCUUCCACGGCUCUGCCGGGGCUGGGCUACUCACGCUGGACUGGCUAUGACCCCUAGCAAACAUUUCCGAAUUGGGACGAGCUUUGUCAGUGGGAACAGGAUACCUGAAGCCCACUGCCUGAGGCUCCCUCCAUCCCGUGCAGGAUGGGGACAGAUGCUGCCUAAAAUACCAUUUCCCCAGUGCACCCUCCUCCAAUCAGCCAAGAUGCCCAGAGCUGUUUUCUCCUCUCCAGCUUCCAGGGCUCUCCCGAAGGACCCCAUACCACCUGCUCAGCCCAAGUGUCUCCACUCCCUCUACUCAGCUGCAGGCAGACCAGGCCUCACAUCGCACGCCUGUCAUUUGCUGGCGGGGGUGCCUGUCCACCUCCUUCCUCCCGCCCCAUCCCCGCCGCCAGCACACAGCCUUCUCUGCUCGAGACCCAGCUGGCGUUCUCUCGUCCACCAGGUAUACUUCCCUCCCCGGCUCCCUCACGCCCCCCCCGCCCCGCCCCCAGCCGGCAGCACCGACUCCGUUUUUUGUUCACGCAUAUUUCUCCCCACCUGGAUUACGGUGGAGCCACUGCAUUGGACAGAGAACUUCCGGAAACAUGGAUUAAGUCAGCCACAUGGACUCUCAUCGUGUUAACUUUGUUCCUUUGUGAUUCUUGUGUGUGUCACACGAAAGGCAAAGCCACACCCCGAUGGUCGUUAAAAGCUCACGUGCCCGAAGAACCCCUUUUCCCAUGGCACGCGCCGGCGCUUUCCCCAGACGGCCCCCCAAAGCCUAACAACUCUCGUGUCAGAUAAACACCUUCGUUCUCCGAUCUGCAAGUUGGGAGCUGGAGGAAGUAUUUGCUCACCCUGCCCUGCUCUCCCAGCUCAAACCUAUAGCUUCAUAAGCCUCCCGCUCUGACUCGGCCUGCGGAGGGCUGAGAUUACUCUCCUGACAUCCGCUAACAUUCCACUUGAAGACCUCUGUGUCCUCAGAUUAACCUGAGUGUGAUGCCCGUGAUGUAUGUGAAGCGUGGGGCACGGUGGGUCCCGGAGCCAGACAGACCCGGGCUCAAACCCUAACUCCAUCACUUGUGGCUGUGUGGCCAGAGGCAGAGGCCCAGCCUGUCUGGGAGCUAGGUUUCUAGUCUGCAAGUGGGGAUGAUAACGAGACCUCAGCAGGCCAGCCUUCUGACAGCCUGGGAUAGAGCGCGCACGGCUCGAGGAAACACAAGGGCCACCACAUGAGGCAGGCGUGAUUAUUCCCAUCUUGUAGAUGAGGAGACCGGAUAAACAAGCCCUCCCCCCACUUUGGGGGCGGCCACAGAACCUCUGGGACCGUCCCUCUGCACAAGGUGGAAUCAAGUUGCCAGGAAGUCUCUGAACAGAGUUAGGCCCCCAGUGUUGGGUGUUGCAUGUUUUCAUUUGCAGGGUGUUUGGGGUUAAGUGUGGGAGCUACUGCGACAUCCGCAAGCUCAGGUGCUGCAUCUCUCUUCACACCUGACCUCAUGGUUCUAAAGCCUGGGAAGAAAAACCACAACUUGGAAAACAAAGACUUUUAAGUUUAAAAAACACAUCUUUCUUUUCUACCUUGGGUCAUUCAUCUUUAAAAAACAGAACUAGGCAUC